ensembl:lncRNA
AUGGAUGCAGUAGAAGAGUGUUGUUUAGAUGUGCUAGCUAGGUGCAUAUCGAGGAUGGGCACAAGUGCAGCAGAGGGGUUAACAUCAGAACAUUCUGGAGGGUUCUUGUUGUCGAGGCGAAGCAAAUUCAGGAAUGUUUUGCAGGGAAUCAUAGAGAUGCUGGAUGCGUGCCAGCAACACUGCAUCACACUUGGUGGGAGGGGAGGAAAACGGGAUUUCAUCACCCAGGAAGUGUCACCCACCCCUUACCAACGGGCCGGAGGGACAGUUAGCAGUGGCGCAGUUGCAGUCGCAGUGACUUAUGAUGUGUUCCAGAUGCCUCUUACACCACCCGCACGAGUUGCUCUUGUGGCGUAAUUUCCUGGCUUGUAACACUUAUAGCCUUCCUGUUUGUCUUUGUGAUUGCGUCAUGUCAUUGGCUAGUCAUUGUUAGCCACAUUAGCCUCUCUAGCAAACCAGCUAGAAGAAAAACACAACUUUACAUUGUAUUUCACGCACAGCAAGACCGUGCAAUGCAUAAAUUGAUGACCGGAAUAACGAAGAAAUGUAAUCAAGUGUGUAAGAGCAUUUAAAAUCGACAUUAAAAUGACCAAUGACCGUGGUACGAAUACAAAGAAAAUAAAUCCAAUUUUUGGACCAGCCAUUUUUGUUGUCGAGUUGUACGGUCAACCUCACUGAACUCUGUAUAGGCCUACUCUCAGAAUCAACCAAAACUUUUGGUCGGUCCCAGGUGAAAUGCCGCAAGAAAGCUGGGAGAUUACCCCAUUUGCAACUCGUUCGGCUGGUGUACGAGGCAUCUGGAACACACCAUCAGUUAGCGUGAGGCAGUUAGCCAUGACUUAGUUAGCCAUGGCACAGUAGCAGUGACUCAGUUAGCAGUCAUUCAGCUAGCCAUGGCACAGUAGCAGUGACUCAGUAGCAUUGACUCAGUAGCAGUGACUCAGUAGCAGUGACGCAUUGAGCAGUAACGCAGUUACCAUUGACGCAGUAGCAUUGACUCAGUAGCAGUGACGCAGUUAGCAUUGAGCAGUAGCAGUGAUACAGUAGCAGUGACGCAGUUACCAUUGACGCAGUAGCAUUGACUCAGUAGCAGUGAUGCAGUUAUCAUUGACCGGUAGCAGUGACUCAAUAGCAGUGACGCAGUUAACAUUGACGCAGUAGCAGUGACGCAGUUGGCAUUGACGCAGUAGCAGUGACGCAGUUGGCAUUGACACAGUAGCAGUGACACAGUUAGCAGUGCAAGCUUAAGGUCCUCUUUUCCAAGGUUGACUGAUUUCUUUCGGUGUUCAGAGUCUUCUUGUGUUUCUAGCACCAUUUGAAAUCGGUUACAAUGAAGGAUACCUCAUCGGGAGGGUGAGCUCCUCUGCGGCGGGCCCGUGGGCAGACUGGGGUUGGGCAGAAGGGUUUAAAAAGGGGCCUUAGUUCUAAGAUUACUAGUUCUCUUCAAUUGAACUAGCAGGUCUUUAAUGCAACUGAAUGUAUUGGGCUAAUGGCCAAGAAGCAUUCAUCUGAAAUCUUUUAUUUUUAAGCGUUAUAAAGGAAUGUAAUGUUUGGUAUUCAUACGUGAUGAAUGAAAAUUAAAUGCUGAAUGGAUGUAAAAAUUGUAAUCCAUUUGUUGACCGAUAUUAAAGACUCAGAAUCACUAACUACAUUUCAUACUCAAACAGAGAGUACAGUAACACAGAACGUGGACGGAAGUACUUUAAUCAUUUUUAUAAUUUCAAGCUCAUGUUCAUAUCAAAUGGUUGUCAAGGCACAAUGAAAUACAAUGCUAAUAAAUUAUGGAUAUUACUAAUGCAGUUGACCAUUUUGAUAGAUAUUUUUAAAUGGCGUCAAUAGAUUUAUUUCGCUUUUCACAUUUUGUCACAUUUAGAAUGUGGAAAAUCGAUAGCAAACGAUUGGAACACAAUGAUCAGAGGCUUCAGAUUUGAUCUGCACACAUAUUUAUACCUCAUUUCAAUUAUUUACAACCACAGAAUGUUAAUUCCAUGGCGCUACGGCCCCAGCAAAGCCUAUAAGUGCAAAUUGUCAAAAAAUACAUACCUCAAACAUUGGGCGAUUAUUAAUUUCAAAUAAAUAUAAAUGUUUUACCUCCACAUUUAGAGAUUUGAGUGGGGGACCACAGGAAAAAAAACAUUUUAUUUUACAUUCACACAUCCAACCCAAUAACGUCAACUCCACAACUAAACAACAACCCAUUGGUUAAACACAAGCCCUCCAAAAAGGGCUUGUGUUUAAUUCAUCUGCUUACAACCAUAAAUUGGGUUCAAAACGACCAAGGCCAAAUAGACCAACCAAGAACGAGUAGCAAUACAAAACGGCUCCAUUUUCUUUUCUUAACAAAAAUCAAUCUACAAUAAGGUUUACAAUACAGGGUUGAUGGCAAAGUAAUCAACCAAAUAAUUGUACUUUUGGCAGCAAAUGCAGCCAGAAAUGUUUCUAUCAAACGCAUUGACCUUUUCUCAAAACUUAAAACGUGGCAAAUAAACAUGUUGAAGGUGGAAGAGAAAUAAAUAAUUGAAUGUAACACUAUCAAUCUAAUACAGCAUUAAUUCAGAAGCAUUCAUUGGAGUAAGCUAUGCUUAAGGCAAAGCAAUAUGAUUUUGUGAUCGAUGUCCUUCAGAUGCCAAGUGAACAGAUUCCAGAUUGAUUAGAAAAGCAUGCGUGCACCAAAAAACACUCCUCUGAUUGAACUCCAACUGUGCCAAUUAUAUUGACUGUGGACCCCAGUUGAAUUGUUUGCAUAUGGCGGGAGAUUACAUUCAAAUCCUGGUCUAGUGAUAAUUCUUCCCUCUCGGCUUGGUGUGGUAAUCAGUAGAACAUCGUCAGGGCAACCUUUCCCCGGAACAAAAAUGGGGAAAAAGAGAUAGAGUAUGAAUGAUCUCACGUAAAUUUUUUUCAAAUACAGCGCAGCAGCAGGAAGGUGAUGAACCUGAUGGUUAGAAAUAUUUUACAAUG